rnacentral:lncRNA from 1 species
GCGGGGAAUGUGCGUAGCUAACCAUACGAAGACAUCAGCAUUAGCCCAUAGGAAGUCUAAAAAUUUGGUUUGAGAGGCUUUGUCCUGUUGUGCUCUAAUCUGGAUUGAUUUGUUUCAGUCAGAUUCGUGCAGAGGGACCAAGAUGAGCUGCUUUAUCGACUCCUCAUGUUGCUACUUUCGCUCAUCACAAGCAUUGAAACCUUUAAUAGGUAGAGUCUCCUUUAACUUCUUAUCCUUGAGGGUUGCAAUAU